rnacentral:misc_RNA from 1 species
GAUGAAGAACGUAGCGAAAUGCGAUAAGUAGUGUGAAUUGCAGAAUUCAGUGAAUCAUCGAAUCUUUGAACGCACAUUGCGCCCCUUGGUAUCCCGAGGGGCAUGCCUGUUCGAGCGUCAUUUCACCACUCAAGCCUGGCUUGGUGUUGGGCGACGUCCCCUUUGGGGACGCGCCUCGAAACGCUCGGCGGCGUGGCACCGACUUUAAGCGUAGCAGAAUCUUUCGCUUUGGAAGUCGGGGCCCCGUCUGCCGGAAGACCUACUCGCAAGGUUGACCUCGGAUCAGGCAGGGAUACCCGCUGAACUUAAGCAUAUCAAUAAGCGGAGGA